GGUCCCGUAGCUCAGUCGGUAGAGCAACGGACUGAAAAUCCGUGUGUCGUUGGUUCAAUUCCGACCGGGACCA
rnacentral:tRNA from 2 species